AGCGAACGCUGGCGGCAGGCCUAACACAUGCAAGUCGAACGAACUCUUCGGAGUUAGUGGCGGACGGGUGAGUAACACGUGGGAACGUGCCUUUUGGUUCGGAAUAACUCAGGGAAACUUGUGCUAAUACCGAAUGUGCCCCUCGGGGGAAAGAUUUAUCGCCAUUAGAGCGGCCCGCGUCUGAUUAGCUAGUUGGUGAGGUAACGGCUCACCAAGGCGACGAUCAGUAGCUGGUCUGAGAGGAUGACCAGCCACACUGGGACUGAGACACGGCCCAGACUCCUACGGGAGGCAGCAGUGGGUAAUCUUGCGCAAUGGGCGAAAGCCUGACGCAGCCAUGCCGCGUGAAUGAUGAAGGUCUUAGGAUUGUAAAAUUCUUUCACCGGGGACGAUAAUGACGGUACCCGGAGAAGAAGCCCCGGCUAACUUCGUG
rnacentral:rRNA from 1 species